UUAGCUCAUAUUUGUAUGGAAUGGGAUCGUUUGCGUACGUUUGCCGCUAGGGACGCUGUUCCAACUGCAUACAAAUUUGGGUUC
rnacentral:pre_miRNA from 1 species